AUUAAGGGGAGGAGACAGGUUAAAGAAGGAUUUUUAAGCCUGAGGCAUGGAUUGUACGUGUGCCAUUCAGAGGGUGAAUGGGCAGGACAAAAUAUUUAAGUGCCUUUGAACAGGGUAUGGUAGUAGGUGCCUUUGAACAGGAUAUGGUAGUAGGUGCCUUUGAACAGGGUAUGGUAGUAGGUGCCUUUGAACAGGGUAUGGUAGUAGGUGCCUUUGAACAGGGUAUGGUAGUAGGUGCCUUUGAACAGGGUAUGGUAGUAGGUGCCUUUGAACAGGGUAUGGUAGUAGGUGCCUUUGAACAGGGUAUGGUAGUAGGUGCCUUUGAACAGGGUAUGGUAGUAGGUGCCUUUGAACAGGGUAUGGUAGUAGGUGCCAGGCACACUCGUUUGAGUGUGUCAAGAACUGCAACACUGCUGGGUUUUAACAAGAAUGGUCCACCACCCAAAGGACAUCCAGCCAACUUGACAACUGUGGGAAGCAUUGGAGUCAACA